AUAUCUUAUUUUGUUUUUCGAUGUAUGGAAAUCCGCAAGUUUUGUAUCUGAAGCCGCAAAGAAAUUUCGCUCUAUAAUGUUCUAAAUGUGAGUGCAUGUCAAAAUUUAAAUAUAUACUUGAUAUAUUAUUUCAAGUUAUAUGCUUUGACAUUUUUGGAAGUAAACAAAUAUUGAAGAAAGUGUUGUGCCUUCACAGAAUUUAAAUUGGCAUUAGGAAUAGAUUUCCCUUGAUUUAGUAAUGAUAUUGCUCAUAGAAAUUGAUAAUGUGAAGAAUAACAAUACAGGAA